UCUCUUGAAUCUGUGAAAAUGUAGCAAUAUUGUUUUGCUAAAGGCUUCUACUCCACAAAUCAACCAGGAAUCCUAACUAAAACUGGCAGCACAACACCAGGGCUGUCACAGUUCCCUGACCCUAAAGAACCCAGACCCUCCUCCCACGGUCUUUGUGUACCAUUCAAAUUCGCUUCUCAAUGUGUGCUACGACCUUGAUUCUUCUUCAUUGGUUGCACAGUUCUAUGGCCAGUCCCAUGGUUCUACAGCUAGCCUUACCUCUCUGGUGAGAUGGAAAGCUCUUUGAGGGCAAGGGACCACUUCUAUUGAACACAUACUACUGCCAAACAUUGUGCUUUGCAGGGUAAGAUACGGCCCCUACCUUCAAGAAACUUACAGAAGGAUAAACGAAACCAUGUGCAAAACCAAGCGCAGCCACAGAGGUGUAAACAGGAAGCGGGGGAGCCCGGAGGGCGAGGAUUAAUAAGCCUGAGUCGUAAAGGGCUGGUGGAAUCAGUAGGGGAGAGGGCGGUAGAAGGCAACCCGGGCAGGCAAACCAGGCACGCGGGGCAGCGCCAGCAAAGGCAAGGAGAGAAACAGUUCAGCGCUGCAGGAACAUCAGGCGCAGGACAGAGUGGAGGGAGCUGAGGCUGGAGCGGCGGGCCUAGCAACGUGGCCCCAGCAACGAGGCCGUGCAAUUCACGCUGACCCGCCAUGGUGGUGUGGACUCUAAUGUAUUCAUUAGAAAUCCAUAAUUGUUGCUGUCGAAGUCUCCUAAGAAAGCAAACAUUUGCCAGAUGCCAGAGUCUCCUCUGCUUCAACCCUAAUCCUGAUCAGCUCUUCCCUGAAAUCAUCCCAUCCCAGGCCAAAGUUUGGCACUUAGCACUCUUUCUUGAUGAUGAGGGUCUUCAACAGUACCAGGAAGACGGAGACUUCAACUACAAACAAACACAAGCCCAGACAAGUCCAGACAAAAUGGUGACAUGAAUGGAGUUUGCUGUCAGUUUCCCAAACUCCUGACCUAUUUAUGCCACCCCCUCAUAUCUAGAACUUCACGCUGUCCCCACAGCCCCGCACCCUGCCUGGUCCUGCCUCAUUCAAGAGCCUGUCCUCCUGAUUAUGCCCAACUUUCUGUCUCUAAAUCAAAUCCUGGUCUAUGUCCCAUUUCCUGAU